rnacentral:misc_RNA from 1 species
GAAAUGCGAUACGUAGUGUGAAUUGCAGAAUUCCGUGAAUCAUCGAAUCUUUGAACGCAUAUUGCGCUCGAGGCCUCGGCCAAGAGCAUGUCUGCCUCAGCGUCGGGUUUCAACUCACAUACUUUUAUCUUUGACCUUCAUUGGCCAUCGAUUGAGUGUGUGGAAUUGGCAGUUCAUUCGUUGUCUUGAUUGACAAAGGAGGAUCUGUUCAAGAUGUAUGUUGCUUCGUCUCUCUUAGAGAAAACGCAGCCGAGUAGUCAACUCGUUUGAUUGCUUGUCAGUCUGGGUCAACUCGAAUGAGAGGACAUUUCGCUUUAACCAGCAGAUGUUUUUGUUGCGACAUGAUCAAGGAAAACCUUAUACAUUCUCGACCUGAGCUCAGGCAAGAUUACCCGCUGAA